rnacentral:rRNA from 1 species
UACAGAGGGGGCAAGCGUUGUUCGGAAUUAUUGGGCGUAAAGAGCUCGUAGGCGGUUUGUCGCGUCUGCUGUGAAAUCCCGAGGCUCAACCUCGGGUCUGCAGUGGGUACGGGCAGACUGGAGUGCGGUAGGGGAGAAUGGAAUUCCUGGUGUAGCGGUGGAAUGCGCAGAUAUCAGGAGGAACACCGAUGGCGAAGGCAGUUCUCUGGGCCGUAACUGACGCUGAGGAGCGAAAGCGUGGGGAGCGAACAGG